rnacentral:tRNA from 1 species
AAUCAUGAAACGAUAAUCGUAGUUAGUUUCGACCUAGCUUUAGGUAAGUUACCCUUGAUUA